rnacentral:rRNA from 1 species
AUUGAACGCUGGCGGCAGGCCUAACACAUGCAAGUCGAGCGAGCGGCGGACGGGUGAGUAAUGUCUGGGAAACUGCCCGAUGGAGGGGGAUAACUACUGGAAACGGUAGCUAAUACCGCAUACCAUCGGAUGUGCCAAGAUGGGAUUAGCUAGUAGUUGGGGUAAUGGCUCACCUGGGCGACGAUCCCUAGCUGGUCUGAGAGGAUGACCAGACACUCUGUAACUGAGACACGGUCCAUACUCCUACGUGAGGCAGCAGUGGGGAAUAUUGCACAAUGGGCGCAAGCCUGAUGCAGCCAUGCCGCGUGUAUGAAGAAGGCCUUCGGGUUGUAAAGUACGUUCAGCGAGGAGGCGUUACUCGCAGAAGAAGCACCGGCUAACUCCGUGCCAGCAGCCGCGGUAAUUC